AGAGAAGGAAAACAAAACCUAGCACGACAUACAAAGACUCUCAUACAAAGACUCUCAACUCUCUCUCUCUCGAACAGCCUCCCUGAAAUGCCUCUCUUUCUCUUUCAUGAAACCUCUAUCUCUCUCGUGAAGCUUUUUGUCCUCCGUGAAAGCUCUCUGUCUCGUGAAACCUCUCUCGGCCCUCUAUCCCCAGUUUCCAAUUCCACACUUAAUUUCAACCCUCUAAAUCCCUAAAUCCUCCACCUUUACAGGGAGCCGACUACGAUGGCCUCGAUUCUCAAGCCGUCCAAUGGGGUGAGAUGGGAAGACGAUGGCAAUGAGCAGUAGCGGAGGCGGCGUUUCGGGAUAGGCAGAGGGCUCGCUUAAACAGUGUUUUGAGAGCUCUCUCUUUGGGAAAUUGGGGUUCGAAUUUGUGCUCGCUCUUCACUUCUCCAAACCCGCCUUCAACUCCAUCUACCUAAUGGAUAAUUGAAGCUCCGCUUUCGAUUACCCUUCUCCUCUCUCUCUCUCUCUCUCUCUCUCUCUCUCUCUCUCUCUCUCUAUGUCUAAAGAUCUAAAUCAAUUCAAGGCUUCACAAUCUGGUAAGGUCCCUAUCUCUAACAAAUUUGCUGAUUUCGGUUUAUUCCCUUUCAAAAUCAGUUAUUCCAUAGUAAUUCCUCUCCUUUUCUCCUUGCUGACGACGACCUGAAACAAAACAAACCCAAUGAGAUAAAGGCGGUUCCUAUUGCCAAUGGCUUCUUCAACUCUCCGGCCACUAGCUGUAAUUAUUCCUCAUUUCAAGUCUCUGUUCAGUUGGUUCCCUUGAUGCUUGACAGCGAGAGCUCCCAUUCAAUCAUUUUAGGGGCACUCGUGGGCUUCAAAGAUUAAGAGAUUAUAGUUCAAUUUUCAGAGAGCUCUUAGAUUACCCAGUUCUUGGAAAGAAGAGUUGUGCCAAAGAAGAGGCCCUGAUUUUUCAAAACUAUGUUGUGUGAGCUUGAGAUGUCUGCAUCAAUGUGCUAGUAGUGAUUGCUGUCAAUUGUUGUGAAACAUGGCUGCAGAGAGAGUUCCGAGGCCCAAAGUCGAAAAUUUGCCGAGGAAGGUGGCAAUUGAGUUUGGUGAGCCUGGAACUAGUGAUAUGAAGGUGAUUUUACUUGGGAAGCAGGGAUUUUGUGUGAAGUUGAGUGUUCACAAGAAUGUUCUAGUGGAAGACAAAGAACUUUUGGGUGGUAACCAUAUAUUAUUAGUAUGUUGCUGAUCUGAUGGUAAACCAAUCGCUGCCAGAGUUGAAGAUGGAACAGUUCCAUUUCAUGAUGUUGAAGUGAGUAGUGGUAAUUUUUUAGUUUGCAGAGAAUCCAUUGAAAAUAGCCGACGAAGCCAAUAGAGCUAGAAUUGGUAGGCUAUCUUGGUUGCUACGUAUGCAGCUCAAUCACAGGCAGGCACAAAAGAGCUCACCUCUAAGAUGAUGGUGCUUCGUAGGGAAGGAAAAUAAAAUACAAGAUACUAACUCUCAUGGAAGAGAAACAAUUGACUUUUAAUUAACCACGCUUAGAGGGUCUGUUGACAGAAUAUCAGAUAAGAUCAGAGACGAGAACUUCUCCCUCUUGCCACCUGUCCUGUCUUUCAAAAUCAAAUGAACCUCUGUGAGGAGUUGAAAGCAGUAACGGAUGUGGAGUCAAAACCGACCAAUGCUGCGACCAAGGAACCAGCCAAAAAUGUGAAGUCGUAACUGUAAUUAGAGACAAGUUUUUUGCCAAGCUAAGUCUAAUCAUAUGUAAUAUGUACAUAUGCGCCUGCCUGGGUAGCAUUUUUGGAAUUUGGCUAAUGUACCCAAUUUUAGAACAUGUAAAAUAAUGUAUAGUUGUAUAUGCAAUUUUGAAAUCUGACUAAACUGACAGAUUUUGGAUCAUGUAAAACAAUGUCUAAUGUAUGUGUAUAACGCAUUUAUAUAA